UACGUAGGGGGCAAGCGUUGUCCGGAUUUAUUGGGCGUAAAGAGCGUGUAGGCGGCCAGGUAGGUCUGCUGUGAAAACUCGAGGCUCAACCUCGAGCUGUCGGCGGAAACCAUCUGGCUAGAGUCCGGAAGAGGAGAAUGGAAUUCCCGGUGUAGCGGUGAAAUGCGCAGAUAUCGGGAAGAACACCCGUGGCGAAGGCGGGCUUCUGGCUAAUGACUGACGCUGAGGUGCGAAAGCUAGGGGAGCGAACGGG
rnacentral:rRNA from 1 species